AUGAAUAGUAGAUAUUAUUUAAAACUAGUGUAGUAACCAGCGCGUUGCGACGGAUAGGUACUACUAAAAUAAAUUUGAUAUCUAACUAAUAUAUCAAAAAUUUGCUAUUAUUUUAAAAAUAAAAAUACUCCAAACAUUUUGGCUUCUUGCAAAAGUAUAUUAAUCUGGUGAAACUGAUUAGUAACAAAAUGUUCAUAGAUAGAAAAUAAGUAUGUAAACCUAUUUAUCCAAAAAGUGACAUACUAUUUGGGAGAGAUUUAGAUAAAAAAUUCAAUAAAAAUUAAC
rnacentral:lncRNA from 1 species